rnacentral:rRNA from 1 species
UCCAGAGGUCUCAAGCGUUGUUCGGAUUCAUUGGGCGUAAAGGGUGCGUAGGCGGCGCGGUAAGUCGGGUGUGAAAUCUCGGAGCUUAACUCCGAAACUGCAUUCGAUACUGCCGUGCUUGAGGACUGGAGAGGAGACUGGAAUUUACGGUGUAGCGGUGAAAUGCGCAGAUAUCAGGAAGAACACCCGUGGCUAAGGCAGCUCUCUAGUACGGUACUGACGCUGAGACGCGAAAGCGUGGGGAGCGAACAGG